rnacentral:rRNA from 1 species
CCUACGGGUGGCAGCAGUGAGGAAUAUUGGUCAAUGGGCGCGAGCCUGAACCAGCCAAGUCGCGUGAGGGAAGACGGUCCUAUGGAUUGUAAACCUCUUUUGUCGGGGAGCAAAAGACGCCACGCGUGGCGUUCCGAGAGUACCCGAAGAAAAAGCAUCGGCUAACUCCGUGCCAGCAGCCGCGGUAAUACGGAGGAUGCGAGCGUUAUCCGGAUUUAUUGGGUUUAAAGGGUGCGCAGGCGGAAGAUCAAGUCAGCGGUAAAAUUGAGAGGCUCAACCUCUUCGAGCCGUUGAAACUGGUGUGCUUGAGUGGGCGAGAAGUAGGCGGAAUGCGUGGUGUAGCGGUGAAAUGCAUAGAUAUCACGCAGAACUCCGAUUGCGAAGGCAGCAUGCCGGCGCUCAACUGACGCUGAUGCACGAAAGUGUGGGUAUCGAACAGGAUUAGAUACCCCAGUAGUC